rnacentral:lncRNA from 1 species
CUUGGAGAGGGCUCAGGUUGAAAGUGGCAAGCUACUUCCAAGUUCCAGGUGACCCAUAGGCUGUGACGUUGCCAUUAUGAAGAAAUUGCUGUGCUCAUCAACUUACUUUUAACCAAGCUGUUCUUUACUGAAUGCCCUGAAGUCAUUGGAAAGUCACAUGACCUUGCUUUAAAGUGAAGAAUUAUAAUUGUUUCUCUGAAGAUGAGGGAGCUGCACGAAAGAUGUCAGGUACAACAGUGCCGUGUGUAUGCUAUUGAGAACUGGAUGGGAGUGAAAGAGAGUGAUGAAGACAACAGUCUAUAUAGCAUCUCAUCUCCUAUUACCUAUUAGCUCAGCGCUUCAUGUGCAUUACCUCACUGAAUUCUCGCAACAGCCCAAAAAGCUCAUAAUCAUCUGGAGAGACACACUGGCAGAGAGACUACCUUAAUACAAUGGGAGGAAGCGAUGAACAAACUGUGGUGCAUUCACACAACAGUGGUGCUACACAGCAGCGAAGAGGAACAGCCGACUGACACGUAUAACAACUCGGAUCUCAGGAGCAUCGCACGUA